GUGGAUCCCUUGAGUUUAGGAGUUUGAGACCUGGGCCUGGCAACAUAGCAAAGUCCCACCUCUACAAAAAAAAUACAAAAAAUUAUUCGGGCCUAGUAGUGUGGGCCUGUAGUCCCAGCUACUUGGUAGGCUGAGUUGGGAGGAUCACUUGAGCCUGGUAGAUGGAGGUUGCAGUGAGCCGAGAUCGUGCCACUGUACUCCAGCCUGGGUGACAGAGUGAUACCCUGUCUCAAACAAACAAACAAACAAACACCUGCCGCCCCACCCCACAAAACUAAUUAUUUCAUUGAGUGAUUCCUGUCUACUUUAUAGAAAACAAAACAAAUGACUGAGACCAGCCUGGGCAAUAUAAUAAGACUCUGUCUCUGGGGGGAAAAAAAAGAAAGGAAGAAAGAGAAAAAAGAAAAAAGAUGAAGAAAACAAAUAACUUAAAGUUCACUUAAAAGUAUUAUAAAGCACAUGACAGACCUUUUUUAUUAUUUUUAUUUUUUGUGGGUACAGAGAAGGUUUAUGUAUUUAUGGGAUACAUGAGAUGUUUUGAUACAGGCGUGCAAUGUGAAAUAAGCACAUCAUGAAGAAUGGAGUAUCCAUCCCCUCAAGCAUUUAUCCUUUUAGUUAAAAACAAUCCAAUUACAGUCUUUAAGUUUUUUAAAAGUGUAAAAUUACGUUACUAUUGACUAUAGUCACCUUAUUGUGCUACCAAAUAGUAGGUCUUAUUCAUUAUUUAUAUAUUUUUUGUACUCAUUAACUUUCCCUACCUUUCCCCCCCACUGCCCCACCCCCACUACCCUUCCCAUAUUCUGGUAACCACCCUUAUGCCCAUGAGUUCAUUUGCUUUGAUUUUUGGAUCCCACAAAUAAGUGAGAACAUGCAAUGUUUGUCUUUCUGUGCCUGGCUUAUUUUGCUUCACAUAAUGAUCUCCAGUUCCAUUCAUGUUGCAAAUGACUGGACCUCAUUCUUUUUUUUGGCUGAGUAGUGCUCCAUUGUGUAUAUGUACCAUAUUUUCUUUACCCAUUGAUCUGUUGAUGGACACUUAGCUAUUGUAAACAGUACUGCAACAAACAUAGGUGUGCAGAUAUCUCUUCAGUAUACUGAUUUUCUUUCUUUUGGGUAUAUACCCAGCAGUGGGAUUACUGGACUGACAGACCAUUUUAAAAAUUCAAAACAAAGUUGAAACAUAAUUGAGAUAUUUUUACAAAAUUGAGCCAAAAUAGAAUUUUAAUUUUUAGAUACAGUAAAAUGAAUCUAUAACUUGGUUUCUUUUAAAAAUCAUCAAAUAUUCAGGAAUAUUAACUAAAAUUGACAUAUCAACAAAUGUUUCAAAGGAGAGAAUUAACUUGAAAGUGCUUUUAAAUGUAAAUUGCUAUAUAAAUAGAAAAUAUAAAAGAUAGUUUUACUCAGUUCUUUGUACCAAGCAUCAUCAGGCACUGAGGGCAAGUCACAAAUAAGCAAGGAAAUAAACGAACCACAGCCUGUUGUUUCUUUUUAAAGGAUGCUGACAGUCACUUCCUGUCUGAGAGCGUGUCAUCUUUUGCUUCCCUAUUUGAAUCAGGAUAUUCUCGUGACUAGACAUGUUUAUAUUCAUGCCCACACAAAUGUCUACCAACUGAAUGUAUGGACCAAAUCCGAUUAUUUGGGAAUGGGGCCUCAGUUCUACAUUUCAAUAAAGUAUUCUGAGUUAAAUUAAUGUGAUCUAUCUGUGAACUUUCAUUUA
rnacentral:lncRNA from 1 species